CACAAGGCUUUACUCAAAGCCAUUAACACCAUACAAUUCCUGCUUG
rfam:Homo sapiens chromosome 1, GRCh38 reference primary assembly.